rnacentral:rRNA from 1 species
UUGCCUACGGGGGGCAGCAGUGGGGGAUAUUGCACAAUGGGGGGAACCCUGAUGCAGCGACGCCGCGUGGGCGAUGGAGUGCUUCGGCAUGUAAAGCCCUAUCAGCAGGGAAGAAAAUGACGGUACCUGACUAAGAAGCCCCGGCUAAAUACGUGCCAGCAGCCGCGGUAAUACGUAUGGGGCAAGCGUUAUCCGGAUUUAUUGGGUUUAAAGGGUGCGUAGGCGGUCCGUUAAGUCAGCGGUAAAAUUGCGGGGCUCAACCCCGUCGAGCCGUUGAAACUG